rnacentral:rRNA from 1 species
GACGUAGGGCGCGAGCGUUGUCCGGAUUUAUUGGGCGUAAAGAGCUCGUAGGCGGCUUGUCGCGUCGAAUGUGAAAUCUCAGGGCUCAACUCUGACAUUGCAUUCGAUACGGGCAGGCUAGAGUUCGGUAGGGGAGACUGGAGUUCCUGGUGUAGCGGUGAAAUGCGCAGAUAUCAUGAGGAACACCGGUGGCGAAGGCGGGUCUCUGGGCCGAUACUGACGCUGAGGAGCGAAAGCGUGGGGAGCGAACAGG